CGUUUUCUUGUUAUUUAGAUGUUAAUAUUUUAUUUUGGAUGGAUAGCUGUUUAUCGUAUUCAAUUUGUGUCAAAUAAAUGAAUAUUCAGGACAAAAAUAUGAUAACGUUACUUAUCGGUCGUCCAACUGUUUAUAUGAUUCUGCUUAGCUCUUUAUAAAUGAAUAUCACGGCUUUGUAAAGUCAACUACGUUUACCUGGCCC
rnacentral:lncRNA from 1 species